GACGAACGCUGGCGGCGUGCCUAAUACAUGCAAGUAGAACGCUGAAGAGAGGAGCUUGCUCUUCUUGGAUGAGUUGCGAACGGGUGAGUAACGCGUAGGUAACCUGCCUGGUAGCGGGGGAUAACUAUUGGAAACGAUAGCUAAUACCGCAUAAAAUGGAUUAUCGCAUGAUAAUCCAUUGAAAGGUGCAAAUGCAUCACUACCAGAUGGACCUGCGUUGUAUUAGCUAGUUGGUGGGGUAACGGCUCACCAAGGCGACGAUACAUAGCCGACCUGAGAGGGUGAUCGGCCACACUGGGACUGAGACACGGCCCAGACUCCUACGGGAGGCAGCAGUAGGGAAUCUUCGGCAAUGGACGGAAGUCUGACCGAGCAACGCCGCGUGAGUGAAGAAGGCUUUCGGAUCGUAAAGCUCUGUUGUAAGAGAAGAACGAGUGUGAGAGUGGAAAGUUCACACUGUGACGGUAUCUGACCAGAAAGGGACGGCUAACUACGUG
rnacentral:rRNA from 1 species